CAGUCGCCGCGGGAAUACGUAGGGUGCGAGCGUUAAUCGGAAUUACUGGGCGUAAAGCGUGCGCAGGCGGUUAUAUAAGACAGAUGUGAAAUCCCCGGGCUCAACCUGGGACCUGCAUUUGUGACUGUAUAGCUAGAGUACGGUAGAGGGGGAUGGAAUUCCGCGUGCAGCAGUGAAAUGCGUAGAUAUGCGGAGGAACACCGAUGGCGAAGGCAAUCCCCUGGACCUGUACUGACGCUCAUGCACGAAAGCGUGGGGAGCAAACAGGAUUAGAUACCCGGGUAGCCCUGUCUCUUAUACA
rnacentral:rRNA from 1 species